rnacentral:ncRNA from 1 species
UGACCUCAAAUCAGGUAGGAUUACCCGCUGAACUUAAGCAUAUCAAUAAGCGGAGGAAAAGAAACCAACUGGGAUUACCUUAGUAACGGCGAGUGAAGCGGUAAAAGCUCAAAUUUGAAAUCUGGUACUUUCAGUGCCCGAGUUGUAAUUUGUAGAAUUUGUCUUUGAUUAGGUCCUUGUC